AAGCUUAAGUUUCUCUUCAGAUCGCAUAAAUCUUUCGCCUUUUACUAAAGAUUUCCGUGGAGAGAAACAGUUUUGGGCUAUUAGCCAAUUUUUUGAAGCCUCAUGAAAAUGAGGUU
ensembl:snRNA U5 U5 spliceosomal RNA